rnacentral:rRNA from 1 species
UACGUAGGUGGCAAGCGUUGUCCGGAUUUAUUGGGUUUAAAGGGCGCGUAGGCGGCAAUUCAAGUCAUCUGUGAAAUCUCCGGGCUUAACCCGGAACGGUCAGGUGAUACUGUUUUGCUAGAGUGCGGAAGGGGCAAUCGGAAUUCUCGGUGUAGCGGUGAAAUGCGUAGAUAUCGAGAGGAACACCAGAGGUGAAGACGGGUUGCUGGGCCGACACUGACGCUGACAGCGCGAAAGCCAGGGGAGCAAACGGG